AUGCUCAUCCACGAGGAGGUUCUCCGGCUUGAGGUCCCGGUGAUAGACAUCACGGCUGUGGCAGAAGUCCACAGCCCCUAUCAACUGUUGAAAGUACUUCCUUGCAGCAUCUUCCUUGAGCCGGCCCUUGGCUACCCUGGCAAAGAGCUCGCCGCCCCGGACAUACUCCAUCGCAAAGUAUAUCUUGCUCUUGCUGGCCAUGACCUCGUGCAGCUGGACGAUGUAUGGGUGACGAACCAGGCGCAUGAUGGAGAUCUCCCGCUUGAUCUGGUCAAUCAUGCCGACACGCAACACCUUGUCCUUGUCAAUGACCUUGAUGGCGACGCUCUGGUUGGUCGCAAGGCUCCGCGCAUGGUACACCUUGGCGAAGGUGCCUUGCCCGAGCAUACGACCAAGCUCGUACCGGUUCAUGAGAAUGGUGGACUUCCUCUCCAUCCUAUCGGAUUCCUGUGCACAAGAGCAGCAGCAAGCUGGUGGAGAAUCCUCCAAGGAUGA
rnacentral:rRNA from 1 species